UGUCGUGAGAUGUUGGGUUAAGUCCCGUAACGAGCGCAACCCUUGUCCUUAGUUACCAGCACGUAAUGGUGGGCACUCUAAGGAGACUGCCGGUGACAAACCGGAGGAAGGUGGGGAUGACGUCAAGUCAUCAUGGCCCUUACGGCCUGGGCUACACACGUGCUACAAUGGUCGGUACAAAGGGUUGCCAAGCCGCGAGGUGGAGCUAAUCCCAUAAAACCGAUCGUAGUCCGGAUCGCAGUCUGCAACUCGACUGCGUGAAGUCGGAAUC
rnacentral:rRNA from 1 species